UUUCUGUAGGUGAACCUGCAGAAGGAUCAUUA
rnacentral:rRNA from 7 species